AGGAAUGAGAAUCGUAAAGGUUCGAGUCGAGCGAAGCGAGACAGCAGCGCGUAGCGUUGACCCGAAGGGCGAGUCCGCAGGACGAGUAAUCCCGCACGACCCACCA
rnacentral:sRNA from 1 species